GUGUUUGUAAGUAUGUGUGGUGUUUGAUUUGGUAAUGGUUUGUAAAGGGUUUUUUUCCAAGAUGCGGGUGGAGGUAGGUUUGUUGUAUAAGCAGCCUGAUACUGCACUGUAGCUGCCAUCUCUGCUUUUUGUUUUCGUUAGAUCGUAGUCUUUUUAGAGUUAGGGGGUUAAACUUGUCGGCCAUCUUAGGUUUAGUGAAACACGUGGUAGACGAAUGGAUGGUUAAGGGAGCCCUUCAGUCUCUGUAGUGAGCAGGGCUGGUGGGAUAUUCAAUAGUGCCUAGUGCUUUUAGUAAAUGGAGGAUGUUUCUCUUUAUGGCGCUAACCUGCAGGUCUUCUAAUGCACCGUGCCUUUGUCUGGAAGCUGGUACAUUUGUAUGUUCCAGUAGUCAGUAUAUUGGCCUAUAUCCUAGGAAUGGCAUUGCUCUAUUAAUGCGUAUGCGUUAGUAUCAGUUCUAUCGUGCCUACAUACCAUGAUUGCCAUAGUAAUUGGGGUGUAGGGUGACUUCCCGCCAUUGUCUUCCAGCUUUAAGGUAAUUCCAAAAUUUUAGAAUAUAGCUGUCUACAACCUGUGUAUUAAAAGGUUAUUUAAUAUAUUCAUUCAUACAUGUGAGUUUUAACUGCUUUGUCUUUACUUUGCAGCUAUCUGCCUGUACAGGAAGCCACAUUUAAAGAUGCCUCAGAACUAUGCUUACAUCCUGAGCUGGCUCUCUAUGCCUGAGGGGUGACUAACCAGACUAAGGUAUCUGAAUUAGACGUAGCAGGAAGUGAAGUGGGUGCUGCUUCACCAGCUUAAUGAUGCAUAGCACAAGAAUAUUAUCUUGGUGUUAAACAUUGUCAUUCUGUAGUACUGAAGAGUUCAUCCAUCAAGACAUUGUAGUACCGUGAAUAGGUAUUCCAUUUUGAGCCCACAUGCAUAUAAUGGGUAACUUGCCUUGCCAUCACAUGGCAACUGUGAAGGCAUUAGUCUGGACAAUAGUCUUCCUGAGCACUACACAACAAAGCUUGCAGCUAAAGUACUGUUACAUCAGAGAUGUAAGGGACUGGACACUGGUGCAGGGAUAGUUGAACUUCCAAAGGCAGAGACCCAGCUGGAUCAAAAAAGGAAUACCAGGAGUAGCAUUUGACUCUUAUUUGAUCUACAGUCCAAUCCAACAUAUUUUGAUUUAACAUCCUUGUCUGGCUGUGUAGGGAAAACUGCUAACUUCUAUAGCAUUCUGCCCUAGUAGGCAGGCACGCGUAAAUAGAGAAGAUGCUUUAUAAAUCUGUAUGGUGGAUAAACUCUCUACCUUCACCUGGAUUAAAUAUUUUGUGAACAGUUUGACUUUGUCUGUAUGGCCCAGUUCUGCCUUCUGGAACAUGCUGCACUUGUCACUAAGUGUCACUAAAUUGUAAUGUUUCUAAUAAAACUCAUUUACACAA